rnacentral:tRNA from 1 species
UAGAUUGAAGCCAGUUGUUUAGGGCGAUUAGCUGUUAACUAAUUUCUCGCAGGGUUGGAGCCUGUCGGUCUAG